GAUGAACGCUAGCGGCAGGCCUAAUACAUGCAAGUCGAACGGGAUUGAGGAGCUUGCUCCUCAUGAGAGUGGCGCACGGGUGCGUAACACGUAUGUAGCCUACCUUAAUCAGGGGAAUAGCCUCUCGAAGGAGAGAUUAACACCGCAUAAAAUCACACUAUGGCAUCAUAGAAUGAUCAAAUAUUUAUAGGAUUAAGAUGGGCAUGCGGAACAUUAGCUAGUUGGUAAGGUAACGGCUUACCAAGGCUACGAUGUUUAGGGGAUCUGAGAGGAUGGCCCCCCACACUGGUACUGAGACACGGACCAGACUCCUACGGGAGGCAGCAGUAAGGAAUAUUGGUCAAUGGGCGGAAGCCUGAACCAGCCAUGCCGCGUGCAGGAAGACGGCCCUACGGGUUGUAAACUGCUUUUGUACCGGAAUAAACCUUUCUACGUGUAGGAAGCUGAAUGUACGGUAAGAAUAAGGAUCGGCUAACUCCGUGCCAGCAGCCGCCGCAG
rnacentral:rRNA from 1 species